GCGGGAGCGGCGCGGGGCCGCGCCCGCCGGGAGGGAGCGGCGGCGGGCCCCGCCCCGAGGAGAUCCCCCUGCCAGGGGUCCGGCUGCCCUCUUCCCCCGGGGAGCGCGACCCGGGCCUCCCGGAGGGCCGGCAGAGAGAGGGACAGAGGGAGGGGGCGGCUUCCCGCUCCCCUCUCUCGGCGGGAACCGGCGGGAUGGCGGCGGUGCCCGGCGGAAGGCGAGCGCCGUAGGUAGCCAGCACCCUUGGCUGUGUGGAUUUUGGCUGAGAUGGUGAGGAGUGCUGCAACCCAAGUGUGAUUCCACCGCCAACUCCAUCAGUGCUUCAUACUGAGAAUGGGUCUGAGGGAGAUGGAAAAGACCUGCUGGGUUCCAGGGAGGAAGGCAGGCAAGCCAGAAGCAGAGACAAAGACACAAAAAGAAAAAAUGAAGAUGUUUAAGACAAUACCUGUGUUCAUUCUGUUGCUUACAGGAUAUCCUUGUAAUGCUGACGGUGAAGAGACAACGGAUUUUUCACCUUUCAAGGAACUUCCUACACCAAGUGAUCCUCCAACAGUCCUUCCACCAUUGGAGGAUUAUGCUCUGGGUCCUUCAAAUCCUGAGUCAGAUUUUCUCUCAGAAAGAAGUCUGCCAACUUUAGUAGUGGCAGGAGUCAGCAUUGCCCUUGUGUUGCUUUGUAUUCUUAUAGUCUCUAUUUUUUGGUAUGCAUGGAAAAAAUCACAAGAAGGCUCGAUUGAACUCAAUCCUCUCCCCUACGGUGAGGCUGGGGUGUCCUUAGGGAGCCCUUCGGUGCCGGAGCCCCAGCAGGAGUGGCCUUCUGAGAAAGCAGUGCAGUGAGAGCAGGAGAGCUCAUCACCCUCGGGGAGGAAAGGAAAGCCCUCUCGAUUGUAGAUAGUUGAACAGCACUCUCAAAAGAGCUGUAUCUGAAAAAAAAAAAGUUACAUUCUUGAAGUGAUAAAUGUCCUUCUUAGGGAAAAUGCCACGCUUAGACUAUUUUCUAAUCAAUUAAACCUACACAGGAACAUGACCACUGUUGAGAUUAACUGGAAUGGCCACUGUUUAUGCUUGUAUGCCUGUGAAUUUCCUACUGGAAAUGGCUUCUGGAAGAUUUUAGCUUCCAAAAUCUGGCUUGAGCCACAACUAGUUUACCAGCAUAAACAGUGUUAUUCCAGUGCCUGGGAGUUUCCUAGUCAUUGUUUUAUUUGCUAGUCUAGAUAUUGUUAUCAUUUACAGUUUAUUUUAAAUUACACAGUUGAUACACCCACCCACUCCUGGUCAGGGAUUAUUCAAAGAUGACCACUGCAAACCUUUGUUUGUUCAUUCUGCUACUCAGUGGAGGAAGUAGUGGAAGCAUGACAGUGUCAUCCAAUAAAAUUCAGGGGUUUGGGCUUAAUUGAUUCUUA
rnacentral:lncRNA from 1 species